GAUGAACGCUGGCGGCGUGCUUAACACAUGCAAGUCGAACGGUGAAGCAGGAGCUUGCUCCUGUGGAUCAGUGGCGAACGGGUGAGUAACACGUGAGCAACCUGCCCCGGACUCUGGGAUAAGCGCUGGAAACGGCGUCUAAUACCGGAUACGAGCUGCGAAGGCAUCUUCAGCAGCUGGAAAGAACUUCGGUCUGGGAUGGGCUCGCGGCCUAUCAGCUAGUUGGUGAGGUAACGGCUCACCAAGGCGUCGACGGGUAGCCGGCCUGAGAGGGUGACCGGCCACACUGGGACUGCGACACGGCCCAGACUCCUACGGGAGGCAGCAGUGGGGAAUAUUGCACAAUGGGCGAAAGCCUGAUGCAGCAACGCCGCGUGAGGGAUGACGGCCUUCGGGUUGUAAACCUCUUUUAGCAGGGAAGAAGCGAAAGUGACGGUACCUGCAGAAAAAGCGCCGGCUAACUACGUGCCAGCAGCCGCAGUAAGAC
rnacentral:rRNA from 1 species